CCCAUAUGGAAUGCUGAGAAGUGCUGAAACUCAUUCUGUGCAUCGUGAUGACUAAUUGAAAGAAACAGCUUGAUGAAUUUUCUAGUCCAGCCAGAGAUCCCCAGCCUGCUUUACAUGGAGAUAAUCACAUAUGCAGCACACUGGAUGAGUCAAUGCCAUACUUCGGAAAAGAAAAAAAAUAUUAAAGAGAGGAAUACAGAAAAUUGUAUAGUCUAGGUAUUAAGUCUUCCAAAAUUAGUCUAAGACAAAAUAAAUAUUUCUAUAGAGGAAACA
rnacentral:lncRNA from 1 species